rnacentral:RNase_P_RNA from 1 species
GCGGGGGGCCGGAUGGCCGCGGGGCGCCGGCCGCGAGGCGGGCUUCCCGAGGAAAGUCCGGACUCCACGAAGAGACGGCGGCGGGUAACGCCCGCCCGGCGAGAGCCGAGGGAAAGCGCCACAGAGAGCAGACCGCCCGCACCUCGUGCGGGCAAGGGUGAAACGGUGGGGUAAGGGCCCACCGCGGCCUCGGCGACGGGGACGGCAAGGCAAGCCCCGCCGGGAGCAACGCCGAAUAGGGACCCCUCACGGGCGCUUCGGCCCGGGGUCCGGGUAGGCGGCUCGAGCGCCCCGGCGACGGGUGCGCCAGAGGAAUGGUCAUCGCCCCGUCGCCGGAAGGUGGCGGGGAACAGAAUCCGGCUUACAAGCCCCCCGCGCAC